GGUUGGUGUACAGGUGGUGCAUGGCUGUCGUCAGCUCGUGUCGUGAGAUGUUGGGUUAAGUCCCGCAACGAGCGCAACCCUUAUCCUACGUUGCCAGCGCGUUAUGGCGGGGACUCGUGGGAGACUGCCGGGGUCAACUCGGAGGAAGGUGGGGAUGACGUCAAGUCAUCAUGCCCCUUAUGUCCAGGGCUUCACACAUGCUACAAUGGCUGGUACAGAGGGCUGCGAUACCGCGAGGUGGAGCGAAUCCCUUAAAGCCGGUCUCAGUUCGGAUCGCAGUCUGCAACUCGACUGCGUGAAGUCGGAGUCGCUAGUAAUCGCAGAUCAGCAACGCUGCGGUGAAUACGUUCCCGGGCCUUGUACACACCGCCCGUCACGUCAUGAAAGUCGGUAACACCCGAAGCCCAUGG
rnacentral:rRNA from 1 species